rnacentral:rRNA from 1 species
UUUAAAUGAAGACUAGAACAAAAGAUUAAACGUUUUAAUUAAUAUUUAUAUUUUAUAAUCCUUUUAAAUUUUCUUAAAUGUAAAAAGACACUUAUCAAUUAGAAAGACGACAAGACCCUAUUGAACUUAACUUAAGUUUAACUGGGGCAGUUAAUUAAUUCUUAUUUUAAUCUUUAAAAAUUAAAAAAAUAAUCCAAUUUAAUUGACAAAUAAUCAAGUUACCAUAGGGAUAACAGCGUAAUAAUUUUUCAAAGCUCUUAUAAAAACUACAGUUUACGACCUCGAUGUUGAAUUAAUAACCUAAUUAAAGCAAAACCUAAUUAAGGAAGUCUGUUCGACUUUUAAAAAAUUACAUGAUUUGAGUUCAGACCGGUGCAAACCAGGUCGGUUUCUAUCUUCUAUUUUAAUUCUUACAGUACGAAAGGACCUAAGAAACUAAUUUAAUUAAUUAAUUGGCAGAUAAAUGCAUUAGAAUUAGAAUCUAAUAAAACUAAAAUUCCAUUUAUUACAUCAUUCUUAAUUAUCACUAUUAGU